rnacentral:rRNA from 1 species
UACGGAGGGUGCGAGCGUUGCUCGGAAUUACUGGGCGUAAAGCGUACGCAGGCUGCCGUACAAGUCGGGUGUGAAAGCCCGGGGCUCAACCCCGGAACUGCGCCCGAGACUGUAUGGCUUGAAUGCGGGAGAGGAUAGCGGAAUUCCUGGUGUAGAGGUGAAAUUCGUAGAUAUCAGGAGGAACACCUGUGGCGAAAGCGGCUAUCUGGCCCGACAUUGACGCUCAUGUACGAAAGCGCGGGGAGCAAACAGG